UACAGAGGGGGCAAGCGUUGUUCGGAAUUACUGGGCGUAAAGGGCGCGUAGGCGGCCUUCUAAGUCGAACGUGAAAUCCCCGGGCUCAACCCGGGAACUGCGUCCGAUACUGGAAGGCUUGAAUCCGGGAGAGGUAUGCGGAAUUCCAGGUGUAGCGGUGAAAUGCGUAGAUAUCUGGAGGAACACCGGUGGCGAAGGCGGCAGCCUGGUCCGGCAUUGACGCUGAGGCGCGAAAGCCAGGGGAGCAAACGGG
rnacentral:rRNA from 1 species